GUGAGUAACACGUGGGCAACCUGCCUGUAAGACUGGGAUAACGCCGGGAAACCGGGGCUAAUACCAGAUCGUUUUUUCCUCCGCAUGGAGGAAAAAGGAAAGGCGGCUUCGGCUGCUACUUACAGAUGGGCCCGCGGCGCAUUAGCUAGUUGGCGGGGUAACGGCCCACCAAGGCAACGAUGCGUAGCCGACCUGAGAGGGUGAUCGGCCACAUUGGGAC
rnacentral:rRNA from 1 species